UAGGGAAUCUUCCACAAUGGGCGAAAGCCUGAUGGAGCAACGCCGCGUGUGUGAUGAAGGGUUUCGGCUCGUAAAGCACUGUUGUAAGAGAAGAAUGACAUUGAGAGUAACUGUUCAAUGUGUGACGGUAUCUUACCAGAAAGGAACGGCUAAAUACGUGCUAG
rnacentral:rRNA from 1 species